AUUGAACGCUGGCGGCAUGCCUUACACAUGCAAGUCGAACGGCAGCGCGGGGCAACCUGGCGGCGAGUGGCGAACGGGUGAGUAAUAUAUCGGAACGUACCCUGGAGUGGGGGAUAACGUAGCGAAAGUUACGCUAAUACCGCAUACGAUCUAAGGAUGAAAGUGGGGAUCGCAAGACCUCAUGCUCCUGGAGCGGCCGAUAUCUGAUUAGCUAGUUGGUGGGGUAAAGGCCUACCAAGGCAUCGAUCAGUAGCUGGUCUGAGAGGACGACCAGCCACACUGGAACUGAGACACGGUCCAGACUCCUACGGGAGGCAGCAGUGGGGAAUUUGGACAAUGGGCGCAAGCCUGAUCCAGCAAUGCCGCGUGAGUGAAGAAGGCCUCGGUUGUAAAGCUCUUUUGUCAGGGAAGAAACGGUGAGGGCUAAUAUCCCUUGCUAAUGACGGUACCUGAAGAAUAAGCACCGGCUAACUACGUGCCAGCAGCCGCGGUAAUACGUAGGGUGCAAGCGUUAAUCGGAAUUACUGGGCGUAAAGCGUGCGCAGGCGGUUUUGUAAGUCUGUCGUGAAAUCCCCGGGC
rnacentral:rRNA from 1 species